AGAAUCAACGCUGGCGGCGUGCCUAACACAUGCAAGUCGAACGCGAAAGUCCCGAAAGGGGCAAGUAGAGUGGCAAACGGGUGAGUAACGCGUGGGUGACCUGCCUUCGAGCGGGGAUAACGUUCCGAAAGGGACGCUAAUACCGCAUAACAUCCUGCCUUUGAAGAGGUGGAGAUCAAAGCUGGGGAUCGCAAGACCUGGCACUUGAAGAGGGGCUCGCGUCUGAUUAGCUAGUUGGUGAGGUAACGGCUCACCAAGGCAACGAUCAGUA
rnacentral:rRNA from 1 species